GUCAUCCGUAAUACAUCUGGCUAUGUCCGGCAGGUCCUCCUGCCCCAGCCAGAGGAGAGGGCACUGGGGACCAGGUGGGCCAAGGCUGAGGCUGAGGGGGCAGACAAGUGCCGUCUGCACCUGAGGGCUCUGACAGAGGAGACUGCAACACCAUUUCCCCUUCAUCAGCUCAAGUCCAGGAAAGGGAAGUCAGCAGUCGUCACACCGUUUCAGGAGAAACUGGCCUGAGCCUCAUCAUCCUCCACCACCACCAGACAGCUGAUGGGAGGCAGGCAGAUGAGGGUUCAUUGCCGCCAGGUGGUAAGUGGGACUCAGCAAGUGGAGUGGGGGAUGGGGAGGUUAGUGAUGAUGGUGACUAAAGCAGAGAAGGAAAAGGAGGUUCAGACAGUGGAGAGGGCAAGUCUCCCCAAACACUGUGAGGUAGGUCCCCUGAAGGGGUGGCAUCAUGUCUUCCCCCUUCCACCCUAACAUGGCCAUGGGCACAUAGCAGACGCUCAGCAACACCCAUGGAGGAAUUCACCAGAACGUUUGUCCCUCUUAAGACCCCGUGAAGAAUGGUCACUUCCAUGGUGCAGCCAAGGGGCAUGGGAGUCUGUACCCUCUCCCAGCCCCAGGACCUCCCAGAAGCUUGGGUGAUGACUUGUAUCCACCCCCUACCCUCUUCAUGAUGCCCCAUCCAGCUCUCCAGACAUUCCUUCAUGCAACAAACAUUUAUUGAGCUCCUGCCUACUUGCUCCAAGCAGGAUGAUGGGCUAGACAUGGAGCAUACAUAAACGGGCAAGAUUCAGUCCCUGACCGCAAGGCACUUACAGUCUAGUUGGGAAGGGAGACACAAAUGUACAAGAAAGUAUGGUGCAACAGCAACACUCCAGCAGAUGUUAUAGUGUGCUACGGGAGCCCAGGAGAAGGCGGAGUGAUCAAUUUUGG